rnacentral:rRNA from 1 species
AGGACGAACGCUGGCGGCGUGCUUAACACAUGCAAGUCAAGGGGGGCCGCAAGGUCAACCGGCGAACGGGUGAGUAACACGUGAGCAACCUGCCCUUGACUCUGGAAUAACAGUUGGAAACAGCUGCUAAUACCGGGUAUGACAUUCUCCCGCAUGGGGGGGUGUGGAAAGCCCUGGCGGUCAAGGAUGGGCUCGCGGCCUAUCAGCUAGUUGGUGAGGUAAUGGCUCACCAAGGCUUCGACGGGUAGCCGGCCUGAGAGGGCGACCGGCCACACUGGGACUGAGAUACGGCCCAGACUCCUACGGGAGGCAGCAGUGGGGAAUAUUGCACAAUGGGCGAAAGCCUGAUGCAGCAACGCCGCGUGCGGGAUGACGGCCUUCGGGUUGUAACCGCUUUCAGUAGGACGAAGCUAACGUGACGGUACCUACAGAAGAAGACACCGGCCAACUACGUGCCAGCAGCCGC